UUGGACUUACUCUCAAUUUAACAACCCUAAUCAACUUAGAGUAGUGGAACUAAUAUAUGCUCACAGGUUCUCCAUCUAUGGUUACCUGCGGAAAAGGCGUAUUUUUCAUUUGCCUCUUAAUUUUUUCACUCCAAUAUAAAGUGUUACAUUUUUCUUUUUUUAAUGUGGAACUGUGUGUUCAACUCUGGGGCUCCCAGCACCUGUGUUACCCCUGCCCUGCCUUCUGGGGUUAAGCUUUCCUUGUUCUUUCCUUUUUAUUUUAAUUUUACACGAGAGGAGAAUGGAUAGAGGCUGGUGGUGUGUUUGCUCCACCCACAGAACUCACCUUGGUGCUACCCGCGGAGCUGUCAGUCGGUGCUGGGCAGCGAGGGGCUCGGCCUGGCAGGCGGUGAGCUGCACGUGUGUGUCUGCAGGACUCGCGCCCCCGCCUCGAGGCGGGCUGCUGCUGCCCGGCCUUCUGCGGCCUCCACCGGCCGCGCCCCGCUCGUGUCCUGGGAGGGGCGGGCGGGCACGUGUGGGCCGGGCCAGGGCCGAGCUGCUCGGGGGAGCCCGCGAGGCCGGGCGGGGCACGGCCGCUACCGCGGGGCCGUCCGCCGGGUGAGCGCAGCCCCGGCCGGCCGGAGGCCGAAGGCCACUGGGGUCCCGUCCUCGGCAGGAGUGGCGGCCGCUGGAGGUUCGGAGCAGCCACCCGCCUUGCGCGCACAUUUCUAGGAAGGUCCCGGGACACGCAGCGCCUUUCGGACACGUCGGUGGCGGCUGAGGGCCAUCAGUCUCCCCUGGCCACGAGCCCCGUCUCCGUGUGGACGUGGCGUGUUGGGGGCACGGACAUUACUGGACACGGUGGACACCCCGCUUCCCCGAGACGCACCUGGAGCGACUCCAUGUGGGGCAACCUCCACGCGCCGCGUCACCUGUGGGGCUCCGACGGGUCACCUCAACUCUGCCUGACCCCUAGAAAGCCCUCAGAGCAACAGACGGUUGGCGAAGGCGGAAUGACAGGCGGCCCCGCCCCCCACCAGGGUUCUCUGGACGCUCAGUAGCUGGUCAGACCCAAGAGCUCAGCGGAGGCGGAAGUCGGGCCCGAGAGCCGGCCCUGCCUGCAGUGCGCAGGCGCCGAGGCCAAGGGGCACGUGGGCGGGGCAGGUGUGUGGAUCUGGGCGCUUUGUCAGAGCUCAGUCCUUCCGGAUGCAGUGGAGGCGGGAGCCGCUUUAAGGGACAGGUUCAAGGAGAGACCAAGGGAUGCCACUUCUGGUUUACCUGCACAGGGGCUGCUACAGGACAGGGGCAAAGCAGCAGGCUGAAGAGGCCUUCCCGUGGCUCAGGCCUGGAGCAGGAGAUGGCUGCUGCUGCACAUGCAUCCUGCACCUUUCUCCCAGAGGAACAGAAGCUGAAACCACUGGGCAGUGGACGACAGAUGGUGUCACCUUCUGGGCACCUGUGAAAUCCCACCUCAGCUGCUGACACAGAACAGGAAAAUUAAAAAAGUAUCUGCAUCCUUGUGGGAGGGACAGGCAAGUCCUGAGAAGAGAGGCUUGCAGGUGCCUUACUGCUGGGCUUUGAAGGAGCAGGAUUCUUGUGAGGGCCUGGGGUCUAGGACACAGGGCUUCACCUAAGGCUGCUGCUGGAUCCUCCAGACUAGGGGCC